rnacentral:rRNA from 1 species
GCAUAUCAAUAAGCGGAGGAAAAGAAACCAACCGGGAUUGCCUUAGUAACGGCGAGUGAAGCGGCAAAAGCUCAAAUUUGAAAUCUGGUACCUUCGGUGCCCGAGUUGUAAUUUGGAGAGGGCAACUUUGGGGCCGUUCCUUGUCUAUGUUCCUUGGGACAGGACGUCAUAGAGGGUGAGAAUCCCGUGUGGCGAGGAGUGCGGUUCUUUGUAAAGUGCCUUCGAAGAGUCGAGUUGUUUGGGAAUGCAGCUCUAAGUGGGUGGUAAAUUCCAUCUAAAGCUAAAUAUUGGCGAGAGACCGAUAGCGAACAAGUACAGUGAUGGAAAGAUGAAAAGAACUUUGAAAAGAGAGUGAAAAAGUACGUGAAAUUGUUGAAAGGGAAGGGCAUUUGAUCAGACAUGGUGUUUUGUGCCCUCUGCUCCUUGUGGGUAGGGGAAUCUCGCAUUUCACUGGGCCAGCAUCAGUUUUGGUGGCAGGAUAAAUCCAUAGGAAUGUAGCUUGCCUCGGUAAGUAUUAUAGCCUGUGGGAAUACUGCCAGCUGGGACUGAGGACUGCGACGUAAGUCAAGGAUGCUGGCAUAAUGGUUAUAUGCCGCCCGUCUUGAAACACGGACC